CCUUGUCGGUUGGUGCUUUGGUUGUAUUCAGCUUUUGUGUUCAAGUUCAGAGCAGUUUCAAAACUUUUUCUGAGAGCCUAUCGUGUCCAUGGAGAGCAGCUGAGGUAAAUCCUGGAGGUGACUGUCCCCCUAGGAGAUGAUGUGGAUGGGGAAAUAGUUCAUACGCAGCUCAGCGACCUUGAAGCGGCAUCCGAGGAGAUGUGGCCACGGGGCAGGCGACCGACACCAGCGAGUCCAGAGGGCCAGCGUGUGCACCACUGUGUGUCUCCAGAGACUUCAGGAAGCAGCCACCACGCCCGAGGAAUGCAGGAAGAUGGACACACGGCUGGGGAAGUACAAUGAAAGGCCAAGUAGGCAGCCUGUUCUCCUCAGAUCAGUCCCCCACGAACACUCAUUCCCGAGGACUCAUCCAAUACUAAUAAGAGAAUGCUCUUGUUUUUGAAGAAUUUUCUGAAAGCCAUCCUGACAAAUUAAGUAGAGUAUGCUGAAGAUAGUCAGACUUUGUUUUUAAGAAUUGAAUAUUCUGGAAGAGGCUCUUCAGUCCAAUCUUUAGUUCUCUCCACAGAGCAAACGAAGUGAAGUGCUGAAGGCCUGGAGCCCGAGCUGUUCCCACACGGACUCCAGGACAGUUAAGGCAGGGUUGCCUUAACUAAAUCUCUGACAACUGUUUCUUCUGUCUUUCUCCUAAAAAUGGAAUGCAGGCCAUCUAUUCUAGGGAAAUAAAGGAUUCUAGUUAUGUGAAUCCAGGAGCUUUUUUUGUUUGUUUGUUUGAGACAAAGUCUCGCUCUAUCGCCCAGGUUGAAGUGCAGUGGCUCCAUCUCGGCUCACUGCAACCUCCGCC
rnacentral:lncRNA from 10 species